GUGAGGUUUGGUUUGUUAAUGUUUAUAAAUGUGAGGUUUGGUUUGUUAAUGUUUAUAAAUGUGAGGUUUGGUUUGUUAAUGUUUAUAAAUGUGAGGUUUGGUUUGUUAAUGUUUAUAAAUGUGAGGUUUGGUUUGUAAAUGUUUAUAUAUGUGAGGUUUGGUUUGUAAAUGUUUAUAAAUGUGAGGUUUGGACAGGAGUAACACACACACAUGGAGAGAGAGAGAGAGAGAGAGAGAGAGAGAGAGAGAGAGAGAGAGGGAGGGUCAGCCGUGAAGGAUGAAGAGGUAAACAGGUGAGUGAGGAUGACGAGGUAAACAGGUGAGUGAGGAUGAGGAUGACGAGGUAAACAGGUGAGUCCCAUGAUGAAGGAUGACGAGGUAAACAGG
ensembl:lncRNA